AUUUUUUUUUUUUUUUUUUUUUGCAGUGCAUAUAAAGAUAACAAACAGGCAUGGGGUACCCCAAAGGCAAUCCACAUGCACAUUUCCAGACAAUAGUUACACAGUAGUAAGAGCAUUGGGGUAUGUUGAACAGUGCACUAAUUUUAUAUUUGGGUAUAUGCUUGAGUCGUGCUAGAUAAACAUUUUGUACAUUAAGGUUCCGUUAGCGCUAAUUUUACUAGGUUGGCAUUAGUAACUCAGUUGUUAUACCAUGUGUAGAGUAUGGAGCCUAUACAGCGAUCAUUCAUUUUGUUAUAUUCGGUGUUCACAGUUAUACUAAGCUUAAUAGCACUCGACAAUCACAUUAUCCUAAUCACUAUAACAGUUAACAUUUAACCGCUUAAAUAGCUGUAACCAUGCUUAAUUUAAUUU